UUCCCUUGGAACUCCAACCCUCCUUAGAAAAAGGCAUAAAGUAUAUGAAUUUCAAAAAUCUAUCUUCAAUGCUCUUCUAGACCUUGCCCCUAUUAAUUUUUAGCGUUUCCCUUUCCUCUCGGUGGAAUUCACUAAGAGGUUGGGUUCAUUUUGUUGGCUUUGGGCACCGAUUAGGCCGAGUCAUGAACAUGCCUUAGCUCCUUCUACAACACUUGAGGGUCCAUUCAGCCAUGGCCGAGUCAUGAACAGGCCUUAGCUCCUUUUACAACACCUGAGGGUCCAUUCAGCCAUGAGCCAUCAUUUUGGGCUUGUGAGAGAGACCAUUAUUAGAGAAAGUUGUCAUUUUUUAUUGGUUCAUAGGGAUCAAUAACGGAGAACUUCUCAAUGUUCGACCUUUGGAGCUCAGAUUCAUAUGUAAGUUUAUUUCGUAGCAUUAUCUUAGUUUCAGAUAAUAAGGAAAGGAAUGUGAAAUUGGGAAAUUUGAUGGAGCAAAUUAUUAGUGUUGGCUGAUUAAGGUU